CAGUGGGAUUAAGUUUAGUGUCACUAGGCAUUCGAAUGUGGAGGCAGUUACUAACAGAGGAAGAGAAUGCAAAUCAGUCAAGAGAGCCAGCUGCUUUCCAGAAUAGGAGACAGGGUUCCUUAAUAUCACUUAACUUUCCUAGGUUGUUGAACCUGGAACUCAAAAAGUCUUCAAUAUGUCUUGAAUUAUCCUAUCUGAAAAUUCUUGUCCUUUAGAAUUGAGAGUUUAAGGUCAUCUAGCUGAAUAUCUUGAUACACUACCUACUUAGAUCUUUGAAACCCAAAAAAGCUGGGCUUCAACACAUUGCAUGUUCUGGUCUCAGGUACCUGAGCUGGUCGUUUAAUGGGUCUGGACCCAGUUUCUUCUCUCAUUCCCCUCUUCAUCCCAGCCCUGUCUAAGCAUCUUUCCUAGUAUCAUAGUUGCCUGUGUUUCUAGUUCUGAUAAGCCUUUAUUCAGAUUUGUUAAUGAAAACAGUAAACUUUGCUGUUACUGUUUUCCUUUUGCAGAAGCAUCCUUGAGUCAAGGGUGACUCAAAAAGCUCACAGUUACUUCUGUAAGAAGAGACCAGAAAAAUCAAUCCAUUCCUUCUUAGAGAAGUAACACUUGUGUGCAGUCACCUACAGUGUGAGCAAGGAAACAUUUUUUUUAUGAGAAAAACAUUAAUGGUUAAAAAGGGUGGGAGUGGGAGAGCUCCAGAUGAGUAAAGAGGGUGGAAGCAACUCCAGAGGUGACAGAUUCUGUCAAUUAAAAUCUCUUUUAUCAGAGUUCCCAUUAUGGUGCAGUGGUUAACGAAUCCGACUAGGAACAGUGAGGUUGCAGGUUCGAACCCUGCCCUUGCUCAGUGGGUUGAGGAUCCGGUGUUGCCGAGAGCUGUGGUGUAGGUUGCAGAGGUGGCUCAGAUCCCGUGUUGCUGUGGCUCUGGCGUAGGCCGGUGGCUACAGCUCCCAUUAGACCCCUAGCCUGGGCACCUCCAUAUGCCAUGGGAGCAGCCCAAGGAAAGGCAAAAAGACAAAAAACAAAAAACUCUCUUAUCAAGAUAGUUUAGCCAAAAUUUGAAAGCAAAAAUUGUGUUUUUUGCUUUUUCCUUCCAUAAACUUAUUUUUAAACCAUUUCUACUGUAGUAUAUUAUACACAUACAAAAAAACGCAUGAGGUAUACGUUUAGUUUAACAAAUUAUUAUAAAGAAGUCACAUGUAACUACCUUCUCAAACUAGCAUCCCCAGAACAUUGCCAGCACCCCAAAGGCCUCUCUCUACUAGUUUCUACACGUUAUGACCAUUUCCCUCCCCUUCCCCCCUUUUUUGACUUUUAUGGCACUUGUUACCUUGUUCUACUUCAUAAUUUUAUCCCCUACAUGUGAAUCUUUAAACCCUAUACUAGUCUAUGUUCAAAGUUUAAAUGAAUUGAAUCAUACAACAUAUGUUCUUUGUGUCUGGCUUCCUAAGCACAAUAUCCAUCCGUGUUGCUGUGUGUAACUGGGUUCAUUACUUCUCACCACGUUAUGGCAUUCCAUCGGGCAGCUAUACCCCAAUCCUGUGUCCAUUCUCCUGUUAAUAGACUUCUGGGUUGUUUGCAAUUUAGGGUGAUCACAAAUAAUGCUGUCAUGAACAUUUCUUAUACAUUUCUUCUAAUACUUAUGUGCACACCUCUUUCCUGGGCAUAAAUCUAGGAAUAGAAUUUCUGGGUCAUAGAAUAUGAAAAUAUUUCAACUCAGUAAAUAAUGCCAGUGGUUUUCCAAAGCACCUGUCCAAUUUACACUCUCACCGACAGUACACAGCAGUGUUCUCUUGACUUAUAAGAGAGGAAAGAAGGCUUUUUGAUAUGUUAGCAUAUAUUUAACUACAUGAAAUCCAUACAUUUGACAGUUGCAAAAACAGAGUUUCAUGCACUAAGUUCCUAUAAAUGGUAUGAGUGGUGUGCUCAGUAAGUGCUUUUGCUCUGGGCUCUGACAGACCUGAGUUGAGAUGUUGGUUCUGCCCUCUGUUCUCUGUGUCAUAUUAGGCAAAGCAUUUAACAUUUCUGAAUGUUUUCUUGUUUGUAAAACAGAGAGGAAAAUAGCAUUUAAAAGUUGUUGUAGUGUUGAUUUAACGUGAUAACAUAUUUAAGGUGUCUAGUAUAUUGUCUGGCCCAGAAAAAAGUUGAAUAUAGCAGUUACUAUUAUAGUACUACUGCUACUACUACUGCUAGUAGUAGUACUGUACUGCUAGUACUACUACCACUGUUAUUGGUACUCAGGAUGUACUUUCUAUUCAUAGCAGUGAGAAAGAUGAGGAAGCGGAAAGUUAGACUUUACCAUCUAUAUCUGUAUGUUUUCCAAUAAUGUCCAACCCAGUUUAAAAGGCAGGACUCAGUUUUGCCUCAGUGGCAUCAGCCAGACUAGCAGACCUUUGUCAAGAGAGGGCCUCUCAGGUCACUUUGGCAUUUCUACAUUUCUUGGCACCUCAGACAAAAUAGUAGGAACUCUGAGCUCUCUGCCACCUGGCUGGGCAGCUCAAGUACUCUGUUGCCCUCAUUCCAGGCUCAGCCACCUGGCGUGCUUCUGACUUCCGAGACCACAGCUGUGGUAGCAGCAUGGCAGCCACAUCCAGCUGGACCUCUGUUCACCAUCACAGUGGAAGGGAGCUGCCCAGAGCUGUUCUCAGAGGACUCUGGUGGCUGCCAGCCAGCAAUACUGAGAAACAGGAGUCAUAGAAUCCAGGAUACAGGGUGGAAAAUAUUGUGAAAUACCCUACAGUGAGUGAGGAGGAAGACUGCCAAUGCAAUUCGGCACCAAGGUUGAGUGAUCCCACAGCAGCUUUUCUCCAGCACCUGCUCCUUUUUUUUCCUUUUUCUAAGAUGCCCGGCAAGCAUCAGGAAGAUGUCACACUCUAGAAACAGGGCCCUGAUGCCCCUUUACAGGAAGCGCCCUUAGGAGUUCCUUGGGGCAGGGCCCUGGGCUGGACCUCCUAGAGGGAGGAGGAACUUGAUGCUACAUUCCUUGUUCUUUUGAGGUGGAACUUUCCCAUUCCUGACUUCAUUGUUUCAAAGAAGUGAUGUGCUGGGAAAGACUCAAGAGUCUGCUGGAUAGGGAACUUGAGUCUGGCCUCGUCAAAAAUCUGAUUCAGAGCACGUAUGCACACACACACACGUUAAAUGACUCUAAAUAGGUGGAAUGGAGUCUUGUGUUAAAGAACCUAUUUAAUACAUCUUGGAAUAAUUACUCUAGGCUAUUCUUUUCAUGCUGCAUGUCCUAUUUCUCCAUUCUAGUCAAUUCUGUCUGAAAUGCCCCUGUCUGGUGUUUCCCCUUAUUUUUAACUUUGAAUCUUGUUACCUUUAUUCCUUCGUUAUUGCAAAGAUCUCUCACUUCAAUUAGUCCUUGAUAGACCUGUCAGUUUAAUAUCACUUAUACAAUUCUUUUAUCAUUUUGUGAUGAAAAGCUUCAAAAGGCUCCCAUUUACUUAUGUGGUAAUAGAAAAAUUCUUCGCCCUGGUUUUAAGAUCUUUCACAUGCCAUCAUUUUAAAAAUUUUCAUUUCCACCUUUUCUCAGUGAGUUUCAGAUACAGUCCAAUUAGGGGACUCAUUGUCCCUGUAACAAGCUGCACCCUCUGUUCUUCCAUGGCUCCCCCUAUGACACCAUUCACUGUCUUUCCCUCUUCUUCUGUAAAGUUCAUUAUUGCCAAUAUGUGGGAUGUGGUUCUCUGGUGUCCCACAAUAUGACUAAGUAGUAGACCAAACUUUUGAAAUCUUAAUAUGUGAAGUUUUAAUAAAUGUGUUUUAUAGAAUAAUCACAGUAUUACAUCACAUGUAUUACUUUGUGGGUAUCAUUGUCCGGGAUGGGCUAGAGCAGGUGGUGCUGCAGUAUCUCACUUUUACAUCCUGAAUGAUGAUAGGUAUUUCGCAUCAUCAUCACACACCCUUAGCCAGACUAGGAAGGGGCACAGUGUUCAAUUCAGUUCAUCGAGAAGAAGUCUCCCAGGAACGUGGAGAAAGAAUUUCCUCACUCUGAAGAGGAAACCGAAAGAAGGGAUGGCCUCUCCCUGCUUCUCUUUCUGAAUGUAGAGCCUUAGAUAGGAAGACUGAAACUGCUGUGGUUACUUUGGUACCAUAAAGGCAGGCAGCUGGAGGACAAAUUCAGCCCUUAUCGUGAGGUCAGAGUUGAGAGAAGUUCAGAGAGAUCUUCAUUAAGCAUUAAGCUGGUUCUGCGUGGACCUUCAGUUACAUGAGCCAGUGCGUUUCCUACCAGUCAAGCCAGUUUGAGUUGGUGUCUCCACCACUUCUGUCCACAGCACCACUAUUGAUUCAGUAUGGAUGAUACAGGUUGCUCGUUCAGAUGCAUGCUUUCUCAAUGUUUUUGACCUGAUGGCCAUAAUAGAAAAAUGGCAAAUCCAAAACAUCCUGGGGUAAAUGGAUAAUACUGCUUGUACUCUGAGGGAAGGGGCCCCAGGGCCUUUGGCAACAUCAGCUCCACAGAGAGCUAAGGGAUUGCUGUCUUGGGAUCUUGUGAUCCAUAUGUGGUGAGUAUGAUAGAUAAUUCAGCAGUUGGGAGGCUCUGCAGUAGAUGAUUUGUGUCUGUGGUUCUUUCUUUCCAGAAAUGUGUGGAAGUUUCACUUCUGGAAGCUGUUGUUCAUUUAGCAAGUAAAAUAUAAAUAUGAGAAUUUUACUUUGUUUUUCUCUUGUAUUGGGCCCAUUAGGGAGCACUGGUUAAAAAUGAGAGUUCUCCAGUGUAAAGGUGAGCCCAUAUUGGAAACCUAAGUUCUAGUUGUGACUGGGGUUUGAAUGAUUGCACUGGAAGCUAAAUCUACUGACCACUGUGCUCUGGCAAGCUUUAUGGAAGGGUAACGACACACUAAAACAAUUUCUGUUUUGUUCUGAAAUUCUUGUGCUUUCAGAUAGGAAGGUCCUGAGCAUCUAUUGCAAAUCAGUUCUCUCACAGCUCUACAUUCUGCCUCCACAAAAUAAUGAAAAAAUAUAUGUUUUGGGUAAGUCAUCAACUUCAUUUUUUAAUAGGCUCUGGUCAAAAAAAAAGAUGAAGAAUUGGAUGAAUGAGAAAUUUAUCAUUUUUCCCAUAAUUCACUCCAAAAAAUAGAUAUGGUCUCAAAUAGCUGUGAAUGAAUUCAGCAUUUCUGGGGAGUAUAAUAUUUAAAGAAACCCCAUUUAUCACAUUACUUAAAAAAGCAAAGAUAGAGUUCUCAUUGUGGUGCAGUGGGUUAAGAAUCUGACUGCAGUGGCUUGGGUUGCCGUAGAGCUGCAGGUUCGAAUCCUGGCUUGGCACAGUGGGUUAAAGGAUCUGGCAUUGCUGCAGCUAUAGCUUAGGUCGCAGCUGCAGCUUGGAUUCAGUCCCUGGCCUGGAAACUUGUAUAUACUGUGGGUAUGGCCAUAAAUUUUUAAAAAAAUAACUAAGAUGAGUAGAUAAAUAAAAUGUGAUCUAUACAUAACAAUUGAAUAUUACUCAGCCUUAAAAAAGAAGAAAAUCCUGCCCUAUGUGACAACAUGGAUGAACCGGGGACAUUAUGCUAAGUGUAAUAGGCAAGUCUCAGAAGGACAAAUGCUAACUGAUUCCAUUUAUAGGAGUUAUUUACAGUGGUCAAAACACAUAGAACAGAUAAUACAAUGAUAUAUUCCAGCAGCUGAGAUGGGGGGGAAAUGAGAUGUUGCUGUUCACAGGGGAUAGAUGAAUAAGUUCUGGAGCUCUGCUGUAGAACACGCUACCCAGAUUACAACACUGUAUGUGUGUUCAGCAACCUGCUGAAAGGACAGAGCUCAUAUUAAGUGUUCUUACCACAAAACACAAACAAAGGGGUAGAAGGAAACUUUUGGAGGUAAUAUAUAUGUCUAUAUUGAAUGUGAAGGUGGUUUCACAAGUGAAUGCAUCUCUCCAAACUCAUCACAUUGUUUGAAAGAGGUCCAAAAAAGUUUUUGUAUAUCAAAUAUUCCUUGAUAAAGUUGUAUCUUUAUUUAUUGAACUAUGAUUGAUUUACAAUAUUGUGUUAAUUUCUACUGUACAGCAAAAUGAUUCAAAUAUAUAAAUACACACACACACACACACUCUCUCUCUCUCUCUCUUUCUAAAAUAUUUUUUCCGUUAUGGUUUAUCACAGGACAUUGAAUAUAAUUUUCUGUGUUGUGCAGUAGGAUUUUGUUGUUUAUCCCCUCCAUGUGUAAUAUCUUACAUCUUCUCACCCCAACCUCCCACUCCAUCACUCCCGCAACCCCCAACCCCUUGGAAACCGUAAAUCUGUUCUUGUUUGUGAGUCCGUUUCUGUUUCAUAGAUAGGUUCAUUUGUAUCAUAUUUUAGAUUCCACGUAUAAGUGCUGUGAUAUAUGGUAUACUCCUUUCUGACUUACUUCACUUAGUAUGAUAAUCUCUGGUUGCAUCCAUUUUGCUAUGAAUGGCAUUAUUUCAUUCUUUUUUGUGGCUGAGUAUUAUUUCAUUGUGUACAUGUACUGCGUCUUCUGUAUCCUUUCGUCUGUUGGUGGACAUGUAGGUUGUUUCUCUGUCUUGGCUGCUGUGAAUAGUCCUGAUGUGAACAUAGGAGUGCAUGUAUCUUGUUGAAUUAUGCUUUUGUCUGGGUAUGUGCCCAAGAGUGGGAUUUCUGGAUCAUGUAGUAACUCUGUCCUUAGUUUUCUAAGUAACAUUUAUACUAUUUUCCACAGUGGCUAUACCGGCAUACAUUCCCACCAACAAUGUAAGAGGGUUCCCUUUUCUCUACAUCUCUCCAGCAUUUGUUAUUUGUAUACUUUUUAAUGAUAGCCAUUUUGACCAGUGUGAAGCAGUACCUCAUUGUAAUUUGCAUUUACAUUUCUCUAAUAAUUAGCAAUGUUGAGCAUUUUUUCAUGUGCUUAUUGGCCAUUUGUGUUUCUUCUUUGGAGAAUUGUCUAUUUAGGUCUUAUGCCUAUUUUUUGAAUGGGCUGUUUGUUCUUUGUUGUUGAGUUAUAUGAGCUGUAUUUUGAAAAUUAAGCCUUGUCAGUCACAUGAAUUGUAAGUAUUUUCUUCCAUUCUGUAUGUUUCUUUUUGAGUUUUUUAUGGUUUCCUUUGCUGUGCAAAAGCUUGUAAAUUUGAUUAGAUCCCAUUUGUUUAUUUUUGUCUUUAUUUCUAUUGCCUUAGGAGACUGACCUAAGAAAACAUUGGUACAAUUUAUGUCAGAGAAUGUUUUGCCUAUGAUCUCUUCUAGGAGUUUUAUGGUAUCAUGUCUUAUGUUUAAUAAAGUUGUUUUUUAAAAAAGAGAAAUCAUUUUUUUUGGUGGGGUUGUGCCUUUGGUAUAUGAAGUUCCAGGGCCAGUGAUCAAGCCCCUGCCACAUCUGUGACCUGAUGUGACCUGAGCCACAGCAGAGACAAUGCCAGAUCCUUAACCUGCUAUGCUACAAGAGAAUUCCUGAGAAACCCCUUUUUGAGUCUUUUUUACAUAAGACAAAUUUUGGAAUAUAUAUGAUUGCUUUUUAUAAAUGAUAGAAAUUUUAGAGUGAGCUUGUUUUGUAUGUAGUUAACAUAAAGAAAAGUCUGAUUGUAACAGGUCAAGGCUCUUAAGGGAAAAAUGCUUUAUUAUUAAUGAUAAAUAAAUAUAGUUGCUAUGACAAAUAACAGUGAAUUCCUGGAGACUUUACACAGUUCAGUUUAUUUCUGUCUUGUGUCACUGUCUCAUGCCUGUUGGAGAGAGUUGAUCAUUUAGGGACCCAGCACCACCCUCCUCUGAUCCGAGAAGUCCUUGCCAGUGCACCAGCCAAUGAAGAGGGAGAGAGACACACUUGGGAAGUAAGCGCUGGAUUGAAAAUGGCACAGGUCACUUCCACUCAUUUUCUAUUUCCCAGACUUAGUCUUAGGACCAGAUUAGCUUCAUGCCAAGCUUUAUGCCGAGGAAGUAAGAAGCUCACACAUUUUGGGGAGGACCCACUUUCUUAUAAUUCUGAGUGAAAUGCAGCUACACAGUUAACCAAAUUAACAAACUCUAUCUACUCUGUCAAGGCACUGUGCCAGAGGAGCCGGAGCCCAGCAUGUCUUUUUACCAUGAGAAUGCUCUAGAAACCGCCAACAUUCUAUUUGUGAGUCCAUCCACAGAGUGACAGGAUUAUGGAAGCUUCCUCUGUGAAGAAUGAAGGCCUUGGAUAUGAUAUAGCCCUUGGGUACCUGGCCUGGGUCAUACCUUUGCAACAGCAGUAGAAGUUGUUAGGUGUCAGGCAUAAUAAACCUGAGGAAUAUGAGAACUGGUUUAUCUUUAGGAUAUGAAACAUUAUCCAAAUGUAUGUCUCUAGAGUUUUCCUAAGACUUCUCAGGAUAAUGAACUCUGAACAGUCUGCAUGUGCGCAGCUUGAAGCCUUCCCAAAUAAACCGUGGGUGUAUUUUUCUUUUAAAGUACUUAUUACUCAAAGAUGUGUUUCCUCCUGCUGCUUGAAAAUGGAAGUCCAAAGAAGAAAUGAGAAGAGUUUUGCAGUGAAAGGUCAAGUCAGGCAGCAAUUAUUGAUGAGGGAUAUGAGCUGUGAUAGUAUGAGAGCAUGUUUUACCAUUUUCUUACUUUAUGGAACAUAGUUGACGGCCUCAGAUGCUACUCUUUGAAAAUUGUCUUGGUUUUGCACUGAGGCCACCCUUCCCAUGAGCAGUUCUCUGCUUCCGACAGCCACCUGAUGGGUUUGUUGAAUUUCCCUUUGACCUCAUGAGUCUCAAGUGUUUCUGCACAACUUCCUCUCCAUCCCUCCCUCUCCUGGGGUCUGACUUGCAUCAGUCUGAUGGCUCUCUGAGCCCAGCCUAUCCUUAUCCUGGCUUCUUCCUCCUUGCCUUUUCCAUGGGUGUUUUCCUUAUAAAGUCCCUGCACAUCCUUCUUGGUAUCUUCUUUUUGGAAGACCCAGCCUGACCAAAAAAAAAAAAAAAAAAAA
rnacentral:lncRNA from 1 species